rnacentral:rRNA from 1 species
ACCCCCUGAACUUAAGCAUAUCAAUAAGGGGAGGAAAAGAAACUAACUAGGAUUCCCCCAGUAGCGGCGAGCGAAGCGGGAAGAGCCCAAGCUUUGGAAUCUCCCCUGCUCGGGAUGGCAUCAUCCUUGAGCGGGGGCGAGUUGUAGUGUUUGUGGGUUGGCGAAUCUCUGCUUCGGCAGAGAGAACCCCGUGGCAGGUCGGCAUUGCUCUUUUUCUGGUGCUUUGUCUUCUCUUUUUUGGAGGGGGCACUGCAUCUGGGGCGAUGCAUCAAUCUUUUUGAACGCGCAAGGGCAGCAAGUUUCCCUGGAACGGGACACCAGAGAGGGUGAGAGUCCCGUUGGUGCGCAUGCGCGAGGCCUGUUGCAAUUUUUGUGGGCGCCAAUGCUUUGAGUCGGGUUGUUUGGGAAUGCAGCUCAAAGAGAUGGGUGGUAAACUGCAUCCAAGGCUAAAUAUGGGCACGAGACCGAUAGCGAAAAAGUACCGUGAGGGAAAGAUGAAAAGCACUUUGAAAAGAGAGUUAAACAGUACGUGAAACCGUUGAAAGGGAAUCGCUUGCAGCUAGCAGUGAAUUGCCCGCGCACGUGAUCAGGUGUUGUGCGCUGUCACAGGUGCACAGCGCUGCACUCGCGUGUGUGUUUUGGCAGCCAGCAUGGGUUCUGAGCUAUUGAUGUGAGAGACGGCAGUGCGAGGGCGCCCUUGUGCGUGGCGUGCUGUUUUUGCUUUUCUUGUCACAUCCGGGAUCUUGAAUGCAUAAUGUCGGGGGCUGUUUAUUCGCAUGUGCUGUUUCUGUGCGCCUUUUGCGCGGACUUGCAGCGCUGGGCUGCCCUAGCUUCUUGCUGGGGCCCCAGCAAUGUCCAAGUGCGUGUGAGGGUGUGUGGGAAUCUUGUGUGUGCGAUUGCGGCUCUUUUUUAUUUAACGACGCAGUGCUGGCGACAGGGCUGCAAACGGCCCGUCUGGAAACACGGACCAAGGAGUCUAACAUGUGCGCGAGUGCUCUAGCCUUUUGAAGCUAUUGCUCUGCGAAAUGAAAGUGAGAGGGGUGAUUUGCGGCGCACUUCUGAUGAUUUUUUUUAUUGGAAUGUGGCGGUGUGAAGCAACCCCGACCGAUCUGGAUCCGCGCUUGGGGUCUUUGUCUGGGAUUUAUUCUGGGCAGCCGCUUGUGCGCAUGAAGGAUUUGCGUUCUAGCGCAUUUGUUAGGACCCGAUAGAUGGUGAGCUAUGCCUGAGCAGGGCGAAGCCAGAAGAAAUUCUGGUGGAGGCUCGUAGCGGUCAUGACGUGCAAAUCUGUCGUCAAACUUGGGUAUAGGGGCGAAAGACUCAUCGAACCAUCUAGUAGCUGGUUCCCACCGAAGUUUCCCUCAGGAUAGCAGAGGCUCAUUGAUUACAAUGAUUGUAGUAGUUUUAUCUGGUAAAGCGAAUGAUUAGAGGCCUUGGGGAGUGUAAUUUCCUCAACCUAUUCUCAAACUUUAAAUGGGUAAGGGGUGUGCGCUUUCUUUGAUUUGAAGCGUGUGCUUGAAUACGAGUCUCUAGUGGGCCAUUUUUGGUAAGCAGAACUGGCGAUGCGGGAUGAACCGAACGCGGGGUUGAGGUGCCGGAAUCGACGCUCAUGAGAACCCAGAAAAGGUGUUGGUUGGUAUAGACAGCAGGACGGUGGCCAUGGAAGUCGGAAUCCGCUAAGGAGUGUGUAACAACUCACCUGCCGAAUCAACUAGCCCUGAAAAUGGAUGGCGCUCAAGCGUCGUACCUAUACCCCGCUGUGCUUGCAAUAAUAAUAAAUAAAAAUGGAAUGAAGCUAGCACAAGUAGGUGGGCGUGGUGGUUUUCUUGGCGCGCACUCGAAAGGGUGUUUUUGCCUGCGAAUGACCUUGGAAGCCUGUGGCGUGAGCCUGGGUGGAGGGGCCACCAGUGCAGAUCUUGGUGACAGUAGCAACGAUUCAAAUGAGAUCUUUGAAGACUGAAGUGGAGCAAGGUUCCGUGGGAACAGCAGUUGGCCACGGGUGAGUCGGUCCUAAGAGAUGGGGCAGUCCUUUAUCAAGGCCAGGGGUGUGAGGGGGGAGAUAUGAAUUAUUGUGUUUCUCUCUGGUGCCCCCACUCAUCGAAAGGGAAGCAGGUUAAGAUUCCUGCACCGCACCACACCAUUUUAAAGAGCAGAGCGGCAACGCAAACAAACUCGGAGACGCUGCCGGGGGCCCUGGAAAGAGUUUUCUUUUCUUUUUGACGUGUUUUGGGGGCGUGUGCGAUUCUAUAUCGCGCGCGCUGCCAUUCUUGCCCUGGAAUCAGUUUGGCUGGAGAUGGGGCAGGAGACACGGCAGAGCAUCAUGAUUUUCUUUUUGUGAUGUCCGGUGCGCUCGCGGCGGACCAUGAAAAUCCGAGGGCGUAGAAAAAUUUGGUUUUCGAACCAAACAACAUAUGGCUGUGGGCGGCCGUACUGAUAACCGCAGCAGGUCUCCAAGGUGAAGAGCCUCUAGUUUGAUAGACGAAUGUAGGUAAGGGAAGUCGGC